GUAGGUAUUGUUGCAUACUAAACUCCAGAGUAGCACUGUUGCUGUCUGUCCAAAGUGUAGCCAUAGUGUUGAAUGAUGAAGAGUCUGCACAUUUCUUCUUGUCAUAAAUGAAUGCCUAAGCUUAAUUUGAUUGGCAGAACAAUCUGCAGCACGUUUUUCAACCUGAGCUAAUGGGUUCCACUCCCAGCAGAUUGAGGCGCUGUGCACACAGCCACACUGCCAUUUCAGUUUAAAGAAGCCAAUCAGCUUGGAACAAGUCGUCAUCCCGUCGGUGGCUGACAGGGCCCUGGGUUUGGAAGUGACUGUUUCUUUCAUUAUCUCUGGGGGCGAAGGAGAAAACUGUGACUUUCCAGCCUUAGCUUCUCUUUUGUCCAGAGACCAGCCUUGGCUUUUAUGGGGACUGAAGCCAGAUCGGUCAGACCGUGACACAUGUGUCCCUGGGCUUCAGGGAACCUUGGUUUGACUUGUUUGUUGGGCCAUCUGAAACUGAAUGACCCAACCCAGCCAGGGAAGGACAAAGAGGCCUGCGAGCCACUGAUUUUUCACUAAUUUUGAUUCAAGUAAAUGGACACUUCUGAAAUAGUAUAGUACUUUUAAACAUUCACUGGUGAAUGAAGCUACCUACAGGGGCUGCAGUUCCUCAGUAGCAACAUAAAUGCGUUUUCAUGUUUGUUACAGUGAAGCCCUUUGAUAGCCUUCCAGGCAGCGGCUGUCCAUUGCGAUCAAGCCUGCCUAUUAGGCUCUAUUGACUGAGACAUCUGUGUCACUGCAAAUAAAAGACUCUUAUUGAUUUUCUUAACUGCUGUUCACUUCCGUCCGUGUUUCGAAGGCUGAGAUCUUAAUUAUCUCAGAUGCUUAUUCAGUGCCUUCGCAUGCUGACCUCUCCAAGCCUCGUUGGCAUUUCAUGAAUCAAAGACUUGUAGUGCAGCAUGUCAAGAGGACAAAGAGGGGUCCUCACGCGUGUCCUUUAAUAGCACCUGUAACAUUGCACCUAAUAGACGUGCGCCCUAAAACAGGACUCGCGGAAGAACUUCUGGAAGCAUGGCACACAAUCUUUUGAAGAGUUACAAAAAAUUGAGUUGAUCUGGUUCUGACAGUCUGUCAGUCAGUGUGUGUGAGCUCUAGUUCUUAAAUGUUCCACGUACAGUGGAAGAGAAUCUGGCAUGGUGUUGAUUGUGUGUCUAAUUCUGGUAGUCUCAAAUUCUGCGAUAGGCUGUGCUUGCUAGGGAUCAAACCCAGCUCCUCCAACAUUUUGAGCCGGUGCUAUAUCGUCAGCCUCCAACUGUUAGAUAGCAUUUACCGACACCUGUUACCUUGAAGCACCAAAGGUGUGCUUAGGCUGAGGUCUGGCUGGCUCCCCUGUGCCUGGUUCACACUGGCAGCAGUGUGAACAAAAGCUGGGACACUGAGCCAGGCCGUGUGCAGACACAUGUUCAGCCUGCUUGCAUUCUAGUUACUAAUUACAGUUUAUGGACAAGUCACUUGGGUUUCUCAGCUGUAAAAUAUAUUUCAAAAUAGACAUAAAUUAAGAAGUUUUAACUACAUUAUUCAACCUAGGCAGUGGAGAAUAAGUAGCCUGUCAUACAGUCUUCUUUCCUAAAUGAAAAACACUUCAUGUUCACUGUGCGCACGCAUGCACACAAGCACGCACGCACCACAUCAGCAUUCUGAAAUAGAGCCCCACAAAUAUCAGAGUAGUGUUAUGAGGGUCUCUGUAGUGGAGAUUGGCACAGCAAUGGUUUUGACACUUAACUAUUGUUUAUUGCUUUCUCUUGGGGAUGUGCUAACCCCACAGUAAACAAUGUGACAGAUUUUUUUUCUUUUUAAAAGAAAGCUUAUCUUGUGUUUACUUUUGCUCAAAAAUAAAUCAGU
rnacentral:lncRNA from 1 species